rnacentral:rRNA from 1 species
CCAAUAGCGUAUAUUAAAGUUGUUGCAGUUAAAAAGCUCGUAGUUGAACUUCGGGGUUUACCCAUUGGUCAGGCUUAAUUGUCUGCACUGGUGAGAUGAAUCUCUACCUUCUGAGGAACUUUCAUGCCAUUUAUUUGGUGUGAUGGGAAAUCAGGACUGUUACUUUGAAAAAAUUAGAGUGUUUAAAGCAGGCUAACGUCUGAAUACAUUAGCAUGGAAUAAUGAAAUAGGACGGACUGAUUCUAUUUCGUUGGUUUCUAGGAUCACCGUAAUGAUUAAUAGGGAUAGUUGGGGGCAUUAGUAUUCAAUUGUCAGAGGUGAAAUUCUUGGAUUUAUUGAAGACUAACUACUGCGAAAUCAUUUGCCAAGGAUGUUUUCAUUAAUCAAGAACGAAAGUUAGGGGAUCGAAGACGAUCAGAUACCGUCGUAGUCUUAACCAUAAACUAUGCCGACUAGGGAUCGGACGAAGUUAAUUUUAUAAUGACGCGUUCGGCACCUUACG